CACAUGCAAGUCGAGCGGUAACAUUUCAAAAGCUUGCUUUUGAAGAUGACGAGCGGCGGACGGGUGAGUAAUGCCUGGGAAUUUGCCCAUUCGAGGGGGAUAACAGUUGGAAACGACUGCUAAUACCGCAUACGCCCUACGGGGGAAAGGAGGGGACCUUCGGGCCUUCCGCGAAUGGGAUAAGCCCAGGUGGGAUUAGCUAGUAGGUGAGGUAAUGGCUCACCUAGGCGACGAUCCCUAGCUGUUCUGAGAGGAUGAUCAGCCACACUGGGACUGAGACACGGCCCAGACUCCUACGGGAGGCAGCAGGUGGGGAAUAUUGCACAAUGGGCGAAAGCCUGAUGCAGCCAUGCCGCGUGUGUGAAGAAGGCCUUCGGGUUGUAAAGCACUUUCAGCGAGGAGGAAAGGUUACUGGCUAAUAUCCNGUAGCUGUGACGUUACUCGCAGAAGAAGCACCGGCUAACUCCGUGCCAGCAGCCGCGGUAAUACGGAGGGUGCGAGCGUUAAUCGGAAUUACUGGGCGUAAAGCGUGCGCAGGCGGUUUGUUAAGCGAGAUGUGAAAGCCCCGGGCUCAACCUGGGAACUGCAUUUUGAACUGGCAAACUAGAGUCUUGUAGAGGGGGUAGAAUUCC
rnacentral:rRNA from 1 species